UGUCAUACUGACCGUGUAUCUUGAGUGGUUGUGUUUUCGCUAUCGAGCAAAAUGUCUCAGGUGUAUGAAAACAUCUUUCGUGACGCUGCGAAAGAUUUCAGAAUUUCGGAGGAUUGCCUGAUUUCAGGCUACUGUAAUUCGUUGGAGGAGGUGGAAACACUUCUCGAUCAGCUGAAAACUGUGGGGUUUUCAUACUGCGUGAGAAGUAGUCGUUUUAAAGAGCCUUCUUCAGAUGUUAUGAAAAGAAGACCAUGUGACUCCUCGUAAGAGAUUGAGGAUCAUGGAUACUAGAAAAUCCAACUGCCCAGCAACUUUAAAUAUGAAGUGUAUAAGGGUGUAUCCUGAUUACAGUAUGCACUCAGCAAAUGAACACAGGGAUACCAAGGCAAAAGUUCUUGCAAGUCUACAGAAAGAUUUGGCAUUGCCAUGCCCGCCUAAGAGCUAUCUACAUUAUUAUUUGACUGCUUCCCCAGCAAGUGCACACACACAUGCUACUGAAAGUGUUGAAGCAAGUGGGUACAUACAUCCUUCACAUGUAAAGGAAAUCAAAAACUUAGUACUCAGUGGCAUGACAUCUCUCAGAGUCAUUAAGUUGGCUCUAGACAGAUUUGUUGAAAUCAAUUUCACUGGGACACACAUACCAGGUCAAAUGAAUACUACCUUUUACCCCACAGAGAAAACUAUUUAGUCACAUUUAUCGGACCCUUUAUGGUACAAAUAAAGUAUUAUUUGACGAGACUAGACUGCAGAAUCAGGUUGAUGAGUGGCACAAAGACUCGAGCAAUCACAUGAUUUAUUAUAGACAUUGUACGGGAGCGAAUGGAGAAGUGAAACCAUUACUUUUUUGCUAUCAGAGCAGUUGGCAGAGAGAUCUUUUGAAGAAGUAUGGGGGUAGUUGUUUGUUAGAUGCAACAUACAAAACAUCAUCAUAUGAUAUUCCUUUAUUUUUUAUAGCUGUGAAGAGUAAUGUGGACUAUUCGGUUGUUGGUUUUUUUUUCCAUUCAGAUUGAAAAUGCAAGAUCCAUUCAUAAAGCACUAGACAUUUUCAAGGACUGGAACAAGGAUUGGAAUCCCCUAUAUUGGGUUACUGAUUUCUCGGAGUCAGAGAUAAAUGCAAUUGAGCAAGCAUUCCCUCAGACGAAAGUUUACUUGUGCCUUUUCCAUCGAAAACAGGCAUGGGGAAGAUGGUUGAAAAAAAAAGGAUAAUCUACGUGUACCAAAUGACAUGAAGACAUUUCUGGAUAUGUGGCAAGAAAUUUCAGAAUCACCAACAGAGAGAGAAUUUAGAGAUCGUGUAGAAGAGUUGCGAACGCAUGAGGUUUCUCGGAGAAAAGAGCGUGCAUGGCCAUACUUUCAACAGCAAUGGCUAACGGUAUGUGAAAGAUGGGUGAAAGCGUAUGAGGACAAGGGCAGAUUUGCAACUAUUGACACUACAAAUGGAGUUGAAGCAAUGAACAAGGUUGUAAAACAUUUUUUUCCUUAAACACAAUUCAGACAGGACUUUAACUGGGGUUACUAAGGUUAUAAUAAACCAGUUUCUUCCAAGCCUAAUUAGAAAGUACUGUCUGCAGAAUUCUGCCAUCAAAGCUUAUAACAAAGAUGUUCCACUGUUUUUGCAUAAAAAAACAAACAAGUUUGUGAAACAUGUCAUGCAGCGAUAUGCAUCAGCAAAAGUUGAGUUAACUGCAAGAUCAGUGAGUAGGAGAUCGGAUGGUUCAUUUUGUGUGGAGAGUGCAAAGUCCAAAAACUGUAAUUAUGUAGUAAACUUUGAUAUACCAGAUUGCACAUGUGAAGAUUUUCGGAGAUAUAAAUACUCAUGCAAGCAUUUCUGUGCAAUCUUUAUUUUUUACCCAGAGUGGGGUUUUGAUAAAAUGCCAGAAAGUUAUGACUAGUCCAUUAAUCUGUCUUGAUGAAAUGUAUGGGGUGGGCUUUAGAAGUGGCUCUUCAGUAAUUUCAUAUGAAGGCAGUAGUAGUGACGAAGCUGUUGAGGAGGCAGUUGAAGCAGCUGAGGAGGCUGUCGAGGUUGAGGAGGCUGUCGAGGCAGCAAAUACAGAUGGUGUUGUUCAAACCAAGAAUAUUCCUUUGCAGCAGUUUGAAGCAAGGGAGCUGUGUAAACAGAUUUAUAAUCUCACAUACAACUGCAGCAAGAGCGAAACAUUACAAAAAGUACUUGAAUCACUGAGCAACUGUGUGCAAGAUUUGCAAUUAGCAAAUCCUGAAGUUGGUGGUCUCCCAUUAGCAGUGCCAUCAACUUCCAAACAAUAGCGAAGAACAAUGCCAAAAGCCUUACAAGAUCUGUCUUAAACACAUUAUAACAUCCCAUUUGAAGGGUAAGAAAUGACUGUUUAUUUGAAUUUUAGAUAGCUCUUUGUCUAUGUAAAAUACAAAUAAGCUCCGUCAUUUCUGAUCCUCGAGAUGGAAUGCUAUGAGGUCUUUAUGUUGGUCUCUGCUUUUAAACUUUGUUGCACAUUUGAAUUUCGAAGUAGCAAUAGAUAAAAUAUUAUAAAACGGGUAGUUGCUACAUUUGUGUGUGUGUUUGUGAGUGAGCGAGUGUGCGCGCGCGCUUUUGAAAAGGCCCUUGUUGCCCGAAAGAUAAGUCCAACAGUCUUUUUGUUGUGCCUUUCUGUGACUCAGCAUCUUCACCAUUUGGUGAGCAGCAACAACUAUCCUUUUCAUAAUAUUGUUACAUUCCAUCCUGGAUUUUUCGUUGUUCAUCAGAGAAAAGAUUUUUCUGAGGAAUUAAACUAGAUGGUAGUGUAGAACUUGCAAACUUUUUAAAAUAUGAAGUAAAAGAUUUUAACUUUAAAUUAGGUUAAUUCAAAUAUGGGACAAUGUUGAGAAUUGAAAAGGUGGAAAAAAUAAAUAAGAUAUAUCUUAGUGGCAUUGAGAUGUCGUAUGACUGAUGGAGGAAAGAUUUUGCAUUUCUUUUUCCAAGUAAGAAUGCACUUGCUCUCACUUGCUUCAAAACAUGUCUAGUGAUUCAUGUGAAACAGAGAAAAAGAUACUGCCCUGUUAAUGAACAUGAGAUUGCCCAGUAUCACUCUGACAGAAGAGUAUGGUGUUUCCUUGAUAUGGUAUCUGGUCAGCAAUGUCAUUGGGACCAAAUGAAAGUUACUGCAGAUACCACACAGAAGCAAUUACUGUUACUGGAAUACCAGUAAUGUUUAUUAAAUUCAGUUGUAAAGUAGUUCUGGGCAUUGCAGCUGGCGAGCAAUGUCAUUGGGCACCAAAAGAAGUUCAGUUAUGAUGGAUUUCUGGCCUUCAGUCCAUGGGAAAAUUCACACCAGAUUGCAUCAAGACUGUUAUAUUCCAAGGAUAUCUUGGAAGAUUGAUAGUAUUCCUGAAGGAAAACAAUCCAUAUAGUAUUUCACGUGUGUAUCAAACUGCCAUUUGUUGUGGCACAUAAAUGUUUGCAAUUUGAUUGUAAUUUUCGAACAGUUCCUCAACAGUCCAAGGAUUUCUUGUAAUGAGAAGUAGACAUUGUUGCUUCGGUAAAGGAAAUACAAAUCACGGUCAAUAUAACUACCUUAUUAACUUUCCACAGAGAAAUAUUUUUCACUACUGCUACUUAAAAAUUCAAAUGUGUGACAAAGUUUGCUUACAGAACUUGGCAUAAAGAUCUCCCUUAUUAGUAUUUUUUAGGUAGCUCUUAUUGUUUGAUCCUUCAAAUGGAAUGCUAUGACCUCCAUGUGAUCUAUUCCUUAGUAGUUAAUUAUCCAUUAAGGCACAAAUAUAUGAACAUUACAAUGAGAGGGGUCUUUAUGCUAGGCCCUGUAAAAGUAAUGGCAUCUUACUUAAUAUUAUUGUUGGGAAUUUGAUGGCACAGCUGUGGGGAGACCACAAAUUUCAGGGUUUGCUAACUGCAAAUCUGGCACACAGUUGCUGAGUGAUUCAAGUACUUUUCAUAAUGUUUCACUGUUGAUACAGUUGUAUGUGAGAUGAUAAACCUGUUUGAACACCACCUUCACUUCAAAUUGCUGCAAAGAAAUGGUUAAGGUAUCAGUGUGAUGCUCUAUAUGUGUUUCCUCAACUGUGUCCUCAUUGCUACUGUCUUCAUGUGAAAUUACUGCAGACACACUUCUGAAACCAAACCUGUACAUCUUGUGAAGACAGAUUAAUGGGCUGUUCCUGCAGCUUUCUGGUAUUUUAUCAAAACCCCACUCUGGAUAGAAAAUAAAGAUUGCACAGAAAUGCUUGCAUGGGUAUUUAUAUAUCUCAAAAUCUUCACAUGCGCAGUUUGGUAGAGCAAAGCUUACAACAUAAUUAGUCUUUGAACAUUGUACUCUCCAUAUAAAACAUUGUCCAACUUCACAUUCACUAAUCUUGCAGUUAAUUCAACUUUCCCUGGUGCGUAUCACUGCAUGACAUGUUUCACAAACUUGCUUUUUUCAAAAAAAAAAAAAAAAAUGAAAAAACAGUGGAACAUGUCUGUUAUGAUUUGAUGGCAGAAUUCUGCAGACAGUACUUUCUAAUUAGGCUUGGAAGAAAUUGAUUUCUUAUAUCCCUAGUAGCCCCAUUGAAGGUCCCAUCUGUGUUCCAUUUUAGGAAAAAAAAUGUUUACAAUCUUGUUCAUGGCGUCAACUCCACUUGUAAUGUCAAUGGUAUCAAAAUUUAUGUUCAUGUAAUAUUUUUAACAUUGAUUGUAGUAAGGUGUAAUAAUAUGUA